CUUACCGGCAAAAUGCAGCACGCGCCGGUCUUCACGCGUCUGCUUACUCUCUCGGUGUGCUUGCUCUUCCUAUCCUGCGCCACCCAUGCGCACAAUAUCACUCACAUCCUCGCCAAGUACCCGGAGUUCUCGACCUUUAGCCACUACUUAACCGUCACCCACCUCGCCGGCGAGAUUAACCGCCGACAGACUAUCACUGUUCUAGCCGUUAGUAAUGCUGGAAUGGCGGAUCUUCUCUCCAAGCACCUCUCCGUUUACGUCAUCAAGAACGUGCUCUCCCUCCACGUUCUAGUUGACUAUUUCGGCGCCAGGAAGCUCCACCAGAUCACCGACGGCACCGCCUCGUCUGCGACUUUGUUCCAGUCCACUGGAUCCGCUCCCGGAACCGCCGGUUUCGUUAACAUUACCGAUCUCAAGCACGGAAAAGUCGGAUUCGGAGCUCAAGACAGCGGCCAUCUCAACGCCUACUUCGUUAAGUCGGUGGUGGAGAUUCCGUACAACAUCUCCGUGCUAGAGAUCAGCCAGAUCUUGACUUCAGCUGUGGCGGAAGCUCCGGCGGAGGCACCGAGCCUGAAUCUGACGAUUAUGUUGAGUAAGCAAGGCUGCAAAGCGUUCGGCGACUUGUUAGAAGCUUCUGGAGCCAUAAAAAC
rnacentral:lncRNA from 1 species